UACGUAGGGGGCAAGCGUUGUCCGGAUUUAUUGGGCGUAAAGAGCGUGUAGGCGGCCAUACAGGUCAGCUGUGAAAACUCGAGGCUCAACCUCGAGACGUCGGUUGAAACCGUAUGGCUAGAGUCCGGAAGAGGAGAGUGGAAUUCCCGGUGUAGCGGUGAAAUGCGCAGAUAUCGGGAAGAACACCGGUGGCGAAGGCGGCGACCUGGUCCGGGACUGACGCUGAGGCGCGAAAGCGUGGGGAGCAAACAGG
rnacentral:rRNA from 1 species